CAGUCGCCACGGGAAUACGUAGGGUGCAAGCGUUAAUCGGAAUUACUGGGCGUAAAGCGUGCGCAGGCGGUUCGCUAAGACAGAUGUGGAAUCCCCGGGCUUAACCUGGGAACUGCAUUUGUGACUGGCGGGCUAGAGUAUGGCAGAGGGGGGUAGAAUUCCACGUGUAGCAGUGAAAUGCGUAGAGAUGUGGAGGAAUACCGAUGGCGAAGGCAGCCCCCUGGGCCAAUACUGACGCUCAUGCACGAAAGCGUGGGGAGCAAACAGGAUUAGAUACCCGUGUAGUCCCUGUCUCUUAUAC
rnacentral:rRNA from 1 species